rnacentral:lncRNA from 1 species
UUGUUUAUUUUUCUCUCAUUUAAUUUAGUCUACCGUUUGAGUCUAUUAGAAAAACUGAGACGUCAGGAGACAUUGUCGAAUAUAAAUGUAUAGAGAACAUCAUUUCAGAUAGUUUGAGCUAUUAGAAAAAAAUGAUUGUUUCGCAUAAUUUAACACAUAACAUCACAGCUUAAAAAUGUUUGGUGCCGUUUUGUUUCAAAAUGAAUUACAGUAGGUGCUGUUAUGCCAGCUGAUUCGGACGCGGGGAAUGUUCGGAGCCUUUGGACACAGAUCUCCGAGAAUCCAGAUGCUGAAGUUAGAUCGAAAUGUUUAACCCAUUUGGCGGCAAUCUGGUGGGUCGUCUGGACGGAGAGAAAUGGUAUUUGUUUCCGCGAUGUGACUCAUAACG